UGAGUAACGCGUGGGUAACCUGCCCUAUACACAUGGAUAACAUACUGAAAAGUUUACUAAUACAUGAUAAUAUAUAUUUACGGCAUCGUAGAUAUAUCAAAGUGUUAGCGGUAUAGGAUGGACCCGCGUUUGAUUAGCUAGUUGGUGAGAUAACUGCCCACCAAGGCGACGAUCAGUAGCCGACCUGAGAGGGUGAUCGGCCACAUUGGAACUGAGACACGGUCCAAACUCCUACGGGAGGCAGCAGUU
rnacentral:rRNA from 1 species